AACGGCCAUAUCAUGGUGAAUAUACCGGUUCUCGUUAGAUUACCGAAGUCAAGUGGGCGCGGUCAGUACUUGGGUGGGUGACCACCUGGGAACACCGCGUGACGUU